UGCAAGUCGAACGAGGUCCAUCCGAUCUUCGGAUUGGUGAAGACCUAGUGGCGAACGGGUGCGUAACACGUGAGAAACCUGCCCCGGUCUCUGGAAUAACAGUUGGAAACGGCUGCUAAUACCGGAUGCCGUCGGACCAUCGCAUGGUGGACCGACGAAAGGGUUACCGGACCGGGAGGGUCUCGCGGCCUAUCAGCUUGUUGGUGAGGUAACGGCUCACCAAGGCAUCGACGGGUAGCUGGUCUGAGAGGAUGAUCAGCCACACUGGGACUGAGACACGGCCCACACUCCUACGGGAGGCAGCAGUAGGGAAUAUUGCACAAUGGGCGAAAGCCUGAUGCAGCAACGCCGCGUGCGGGAAGAAGGCCCUAGGGUUGUAAACCGCUUUCAGCAGGGAAGAAAAUGACGGUACCUGCAAAAGAAGGUGCGGCCAACUACGUGCCAGCAGCCGCGGUGACACGUAGGCACCAAGCGUUGUCCGGAUUUAUUGGGCGUAAAGAGCUCGUAGGCGGUUCAGUAAGUCGGGUGUGAAAACUCUGGGCUCAACCCAGAGACGCCACUCGAUACUGCUGUGACUCGAGUGCGGUAGGGGAGCGGGGAAUUCCUAGUGUAGCGGUGAAAUGCGCAUAUAUUAGGAGGAACACCAGUGGCGAAGGCGCCGCUCUGGGCCGUAACUGACGCUGAGGAGCGAAAGCGUGGGUAGCAAACAGGAUUAGAUACCCUGGUAGUCCACGCCGUAAACGUUGGGCACUAGGUGUGGGUCUCAACCAACGAGAUCCGCGCCGUCGCUAACGCAUUAAGUGCCCCGCCUGGGGAGUACGGCCGCAAGGCUA
rnacentral:rRNA from 1 species